UAGGGAAUCUUCCACAAUGGACGCAAGUCUGAUGGAGCAACGCCGCGUGAGUGAAGAAGGGUCUCGGCUCGUAAAGCUCUGUUGUUAAAGAAGAACGUGGGUAAGAGUAACUGUUUACCCAGUGACGGUAUUUAACCAGAAAGCCACGGCUAACUACGUGCCAG
rnacentral:rRNA from 1 species